UAGGUGACUCUACUGUCAAGUGCUUUCCCAGU
rnacentral:piRNA from 1 species